rnacentral:rRNA from 1 species
UUCCCGUACUUGGUGUUACUGCGAAGGGGGGACGGAGAAGGCUAUGUUGGCCGGGCGACGGUUGUCCCGGUUUAAGCGUGUAGGCUGGUUUUCCAGGCAAAUCCGGAAAAUCAAGGCUGAGGCGUGACGACGAGGCACUACGGUGCUGAAGCAACAAAUGCCCUGCUUCCAGGAAAAGCCUCUAAGCAUCAGGUAACACGAAAUCGUACCCCAAACCGACACAGGUGGUCAGGUAGAGAAUAC